GCCGAGCUUGGUAGCGUGGGCUUGUAACCCAAGUGGGGGCAUUAGUGUGGUGGAAUGUUGAGCAUGUCCAGAAGGUAGGGCUUGUGUGACAAUUCUCUGGCCUGCCCUGUGGACUGCGUCAGGCUGGUUUCACAGAGCAACGAAUAAUUUCCGCUCUGUGCAGUGGAAGGAUAACGAGCUAGUGUCAUACAAGUCCAAAAUGCCUGAUGGACUGUUCUAAUUAUUAAACCACCACUUUG
rnacentral:SRP_RNA from 1 species